rnacentral:lncRNA from 1 species
CUCUCAACAGUGCUGCAUUGGGAGCCAACCCUCGAAUAGACGAUUUUUGAGGGAUCUCACUAAGUCAUUAAGUUGCUUACCCUGGGCUUCAACUUGGGAUUCUCCUGCCUCAGCCUCCCUGAGAUUCAGACAUGCAACACUAUUCACUGACAGUCUUAACAGAUGCUUAUUUGGGUUGAUGAGAUUAAUAAAGAGUUCGUUCCUCAGCUACCAGCACUUCUAAGUGGUUCACAUGUUGAUGAAUUGAUCAGAAGUCUCUCUGAAGAGGCUGAUUUUUAAACCAAAGCCCAACUUAUUUAUAAAGGAAGAUCCAUCUAACCUAAUGUGUACCUGGAAAGUAAAUUGAAGAAUGAAGAAUACCCAGGGUACAGAGUCUUCGAAAUCAAGGACUACCAGACUAGUACUUGGAAGAGAUGAGAGAAGGUUGCAAGGAGGUGAGAAGUAUAUGAAUCAGUUCCUGGGGUGUCCUGAAGCUCUGAAGAAAAUGACUUGAAACAAUUCCAGCUCUCACUUUUUUCCUUCAAUCAAUUCCCAGCUGGGCUGUGACAGAAGGCAGAUGAUAAGAAAAGGAAGGAGAGCAAUAAAGCGCAGCCGCUUUACAAGAGAAGAAAAAGUUUCCCAGAGGGAAGUAAAGAAGGAAAGCCCCCCCAAAAAACCUAGGCACAGAGCUUGCUUGAAGGAGAAAGAUUACCAUGAAAUCUUUAAAUGUUCUAAACACCAUCAGUAACAGCUGUAAAGGAGUGGGAACAGGUAUAAUAGGGAUUAGUGGAAAGAGCUUCACUGUAGCCAUGUACUUUUCUGUAUUAUUUAGUAUUCCUCUCUUUGAAGAACUGCCUUAUGAGUUGAAUAUGAA